UACGAAAGGUGCGAGCGUUAAUCGGAAUUACUGGGCGUAAAGCGUGCGUAGGCGGCUAUUUAAGUCGGAUGUGAAAGCCCCGGGCUCAACCUGGGAAUGGCAAUGGAUACUGGCAAGCUAGAGUGUGUCAGAGGAUGGUGGAAUUUCCGGUGUAGCGGUGAAAUGCGUAGAGAUCGGAAGGAACAUCAGUGGCGAAGGCGGCCAUCUGGGACAACACUGACGCUGAAGCACGAAAGCGUGGGGAGCAAACAGG
rnacentral:rRNA from 1 species